UGGGGAAUUUUGGACAAUGGGCGAAAGCCUGAUCCAGCAAUGCCGCGUGUGUGAAGAAGGCCUUCGGGUUGCAAAGCACUUUUGUCCGGAAAGAAAUCCUUGGCUCUAAUACAGUCGGGGGAUGACGGUACCGGAAGAAUAAGCACCGGCUAACUACGUGCCAGCAGCCGCGGUAAUACGUAGGGUGCAAGCGUUAAUCGGAAUUACUGGGCGUAAAGCGUGCGCAGGCGGUUUGCUAAGACCGAUGUGAAAUCCCCGGGCUCAACCUGGGAACUGCAUUGGUGACUGGCAGGCUAGAGUAUGGCAGAGGGGGGUAGAAUUCCACGUGUAGCAGUGAAAUGCGUAGAGAUGUGGAGGAAUACCGAUGGCGAAGGCAGCCCCCUGGGCCAAUACUGACGCUCAUGCACGAAAGCGUGGGGAGCAAACAGGAUUAGAUACCCUGGUAGUCCACGCCCUAAACGAUGUCAACUAGUUGUUGGGGAUUCAUUUCCUUAGUAACGUAGCUAACGCGUGAAGUUGACCGCCUGGGGAGUACGGUCGCAAGAUUAAAACUCAAAGGAAUUGACGGGGUCAUAGCUGUUUCCU
rnacentral:rRNA from 1 species